rnacentral:lncRNA from 1 species
AGAAAGCGACAGGCACCCUCACACCGCAAAGGAGAAACUACGCAGGCCCGAACCGGCGUCUCCUAUGGAGGAAAUCAGCUUGGGCAACGUAACCAUAAGGAUAGGGACUCAGCUUCAUCUAGAACUACGAACAUGGCUGAUAGAACUGCUCAGAAAAAACAAGGAAUGUUCGCAAGCGAGUUAAAAGACCUCAAAGGAAUAGCCCGCACCUCAGCGGAACACAAGCUCGGAGUAGCCCCGGGAGCGCACCCGGUAAGACAAAAAAUGCACCCGCUCUGGGCCGAAAGGAAGGA